CGGCCGCGGUAUCCUGACCGUGCAAAGGUAGCAUAAUCACUUGUUCCUUAAUUAGGGACUAGAAUGAAUGGCUAAACGAGGAUUCAACUGUCUCUUAUUUUCAANUCAGUGAAAUUGACCUUUCAGUGAAGAGGCUGAAAUACCAAAAUAAGACGAGAAGACCCUAUGGAGCUUAAAUUAAAAGUUUAAUUUUUAUCCACUCGACCUAAUGGUACAACACAAAAACUCUAAACUCUAAAUUUCGGUUGGGGUGACCUCGGAGAACAAAAAAUCCUCCGAAUGAUUAUAACACAGACCUACAAGUCAAAGUAAUCUAUCAAUCUUAUUGACCCAAAACAUUUUGAUCAACGGAACAAGUUACCCUAGGGAUAACAGCGCAAUCCUAUUUUAGAGUCCAUAUCGACAAUAGGGUUUACGACCUCGAUGUUGGAUCAGGACAUCCCAAUGGCGCA
rnacentral:rRNA from 1 species